rnacentral:rRNA from 1 species
UACAGAGGGUGUAAACGUUGCUCGGAAUCAUUGGGCGUAAAGCGCACGUAGGCGGCCUAGCAAGUAGGGAGUGAAAGCCCUCGGCUUAACCGAGGAAGUGCUUUCUAAACUACUAGGCUUGAAUACUGGAGAGGGUCGCGGAAUUCCCGGUGUAGAGGUGAAAUUCGUAGAUAUCGGGAGGAACACCAGUGGCGAAGGCGGCGACCUGGACAGAUAUUGACGCUGAGGUGCGAAAGCGUGGGGAGCAAACAGG